GGAAAAGAGAGGAUCAACUCGGCGGCAAAUCUGUCUCCCCCAGCAGGUCGCGGUUUUUUUUCGUUGUUUCGCCCACCAAGCAAGUCGUUUUGUAUCAGCCCUGAUGGCUGGUCUCAGACAGUCCCGCAGUUGUAGAAGCUGGAGGUGGAGAUCCUGGGCUGGCAUGGUUACACGUGGUCUGCGGUUGUGAGGCCGGUUGGACGUACUGCCAAACUCUCUAAAACGACGAUGGAGGUGGCUUAUGCCAUGACUCUGAGCAUGUCUCCGGCUGCGGUGUGCCAGUGCUUUACGCUGGUGUCACUGUGCACAUCCAUCGCCGACCCAAACUGGAUCCAAGUCAUCAACAACACUGACCCCGGAGGCAAACAGCUCAUCUAUGGUGUGGCUUUCAUACUGCAUGCGCCCCAGAACCUCACUGACACAGGGGAGAGCUUCUACAUCACCAUGCUGGGCCUGCUCUUCUCCUGCCUGGCCGGUGUGAGCAGCCUGGGGGACCCCACCUCCACCCAGAGGGACUACACAGCUGUGGUGGAGUGGGACGACAGUGACACAGAGCCCCUUACCCCCAGGGAGCAGGGAGUGGGACAGUCUGAUGAAGAGGAGGGGGUAGGAGACGUGUUGCCUGAACUGACUCAGGGGGAGGUUAAUUUCCAACCAACAUCAUCAGGAAAUGGUCUUCAUCCAAAACCACAAGAUGACCACACAUGACCAGAACUGUCCCACAUCUUUCCCGAAGUCUUUCUGAAUGCAUAGGUAGGUUUUAGGGUUAGCCAGGCAGGACUCGCUGUGAACAUGAUGUCCCCUCUGUCAGCAAGCAAUGACUUCAGCAGACAAACCACUCCUUGGUAAAUAUAAAUAAUCUAAAGAUAUGGUUGAAUAUAGCCAAUAUCUAUCCUAUUAGUAGAUUGGCACAAGGUUGGUUUACACCUGGGUUGCACUGUUCCAAUCAAAGCUUACCCCCCCCUCUCUUUUCCUUUCCCCAAAGCUUCCUCUACUGUCACGACUCCACUCCCGUCUCCCAUUGGAUGAAAACCAUUGCCAUAGUAACCUUGACAAAUUGUUGAUGUUGCCAGUGAAUUUGUGAAUGAGAGAUAAGAAAGGAGAGAAGCAGGGGAGAGUCAAAGAGCCUAUUUUAGUGGUGGUGUUGCGCCGAUGGGUAACUGAGUGUGUGUGUGUGAGUCUGAGCCUGUAUGUACAGUCUGAGCCUGUAGGUACAAUUGGAAGUAUACAUACACUUAGGUUGGAAUCAUUAAAACUUGUUUUUAAACCACUCCACAAAUUUCUUGUUAACAAGCUAUAGUUUUAGCAAGUUGGUUAGAACAUCUACUUUGUGCAUGAUACAAGUAAUUUUUCCAACAAUUGUUUACAGACAGAUUAUUUCACUUAUAAUUCACUGUAUCACAAUUCCAG
rnacentral:lncRNA from 1 species